rnacentral:rRNA from 1 species
AGGAAUAUUGGUCAAUGGGCGCAAGCCUGAACCAGCCAUGCCGCGUGCAGGAAGACGGCCCUACGGGUUGUAAACUGCUUUUGCAGGGGAAUAAACCCUGGUAUGUAUACCAGGUUGAAUGUACUCUGAGAAUAAGGAUCGGCUAACUCCGUGCCAGCAGCCGCGGUAAUACGGAGGAUCCAAGCGUUAUCCGGAUUUAUUGGGUUUAAAGGGUGCGUAGGCGGCCAAUUAAGUCAGGGGUGAAAGACGGUAGCUUAACUAUCGCAGUGCCUUUGAUACUGAUUGGCUUGAAUACACUAGAGGUAGGCGGAAUGUGACAAGUAGCGGUGAAAUGCAUAGAUAUGUCACAGAACACCAAUUGCGAAGGCAGCUUACUAUGGUGUGAUUGACGCUGAGGCACGAAAGCGUGGGGAUCAAA